UACGGGGGGAGCAAGCGUUGUUCGGAUUUACUGGGCGUAAAGGGCGCGUAGGCGGUCAGCACAAGUCAGUUGUGAAAUCUCCGAGCUUAACUCGGAAAGGUCAACUGAUACUGUGCGACUAGAGUGCGGAAGGGGCAACUGGAAUUCUUGGUGUAGCGGUGAAAUGCGUAGAUAUCAAGAGGAACACCUGCGGCGAAGGCGGGUUGCUGGGCCGACACUGACGCUGAGGCGCGAAAGCUAGGGGAGCGAACGGG
rnacentral:rRNA from 1 species